AGGAUGAACGCUGGCGGUGUGCCUAAUACAUGCAAGUCGAACGAGAUCUUCGGAUCUAGUGGCGAACGGGUGAGUAACACGUUGGUACCUACCCCUAAGUGGGGAAUAACUGCCCGAAAGGGUGGCUAAUACCGCAUAAUCCCGCAAGGGUAAAGCAGUAAUGCGCUUAGGGAGGGGCCUGCGUCUGAUUAGCUAGUUGGUAGGGUAAUGGCCUACCAAGGCGACGAUCAGUAGCUGGAUCGAGAGGUUGAUCAGCCAGACUGGGACUGAGACACGGCCCAGACUCCUACGGGAGGCAGCAGUAGGGAAUUUUCCACAAUGGACGAAAGUCUGAUGGAGCAACGCCGCGUGCAGGAUGAAGGCUUUCGGGUCGUAAACUGCUUUUAUCUGUGACGAUUUUGACGGUAGCAGAUGAAUAAGGAUCGGCUAACUCCGUGCCAGCAGCCGC
rnacentral:rRNA from 1 species